rfam:Gossypium hirsutum cultivar TM-1 chromosome 1, whole genome shotgun sequence
AUCCCAUGAUGAGGACAUUUACGAAGUAAUUCCUUGAGUCUUUCUCAUGCCUCAUAUAAGGACUCGUCAUCCAAUUUUGAAAAAGUAGUUAUCUUAUUUCUCAACCU